CGGCGUGCCUAAUACAUGCAAGUCGAGCGAGCGGAACUAACAGAUUUACUUCGGUAAUGACGUUAGGAAAGCGAGCGGCGGAUGGGUGAGUAACACGUGGGGAACCCUGCCCCAUAGUCUGGGGAUACCACUUGGAAAACAGGUGCUAAUACCGGAUAAGAAAGCAGAUCGCAUGAUCAGCUUUUAAAAAGGCGGCGUAAAGCUGUCGCUAUGGGAUGGCCCCGCGGUGCAUUAGCUAGUUGGUAAGGUAAAGGCUUACCAAGGCGAUGAUGCAUAGCCGAGUUGAGAGACUGAUCGGCCACAUUGGGACUGAGACACGGCCCAAACUCCUACGGGGGGCAGCAGUAGGGAAAUCUUCCACAAUGGACGCAAGUCUGAUGGAGCAACGCCGCGUGAGUGAAGAAGGGUUUCGGCUCGUAAAGCUCUGUUGUUGGUGAAGAAGGACAGGGGUAGUAACUGACCUUUGUUUGACGGUAAUCAAUUAGAAAGUCACGGCUAACUACGUGCCAGCAGCCGCGGGUAAU
rnacentral:rRNA from 1 species